CAGCCGCCGCGGUAAUACGUAGGUGGCAAGCGUUGUCCGGAAUUAUUGGGCGUAAAGGGCUCGCAGGCGGUAUCUUAAGUCUGAUGUGAAAGCCCCCGGCUCAACCGGGGAGGGUCAUUGGAAACUGGGAAACUUGAGUGCAGAGGAGGAGAGUGGAAUUCCACGUGUAGCGGUGAAAUGCGUAGAGAUGUGGAGGAACACCAGUGGCGAAGGCGACUCUCUGGUCUGUAACCGACGCUGAGGAGCGGAAGCGUGGGGAGCGAACAGGAUUAGAUACCCCUGUAGUCCCUGUCUCUUAUAC
rnacentral:rRNA from 1 species